AUUGAACGCUGGCGGCAGGCCUAACACAUGCAAGUCGAGCGGAUGAAGGGAGCUUGCUCCUGGAUUCAGCGGCGGACGGGUGAGUAAUGCCUAGGAAUCUGCCUGGUAGUGGGGGAUAACGUCCGGAAACGGGCGCUAAUACCGCAUACGUCCUGAGGGAGAAAGUGAGGGAUCUUCGAUCCUCACGCUAUCAGAUGAGCCUAGGUCGUAUUAGCUAGUUGGUGGGGUAAAGGCCUACCAAGGCGACGAUCCGUAACUGGUCUGAGAGGAUGAUCAGUCACACUGGAACUGAGACACGGUCCAGACUCCUACGGGAGGCAGCAGUGGGGAAUAUUGGACAAUGGGCGAAAGCCUGAUCCAGCAAUGCCGCGUGAGUGAAGAAGGUCUUCGGAUUGUAAAGCUCUUUAAGUUGGGAGGAAGGGCAGUAAGUUAAAAACUUCCUAUUUUGACGGUACCAAAAGAGUAAGCAACGGCUAACUUCGUG
rnacentral:rRNA from 1 species